rnacentral:rRNA from 1 species
GUGUAAAGGCAAAAGAGAGCUUGAUUGCAAGACAUACAGGUCGAGCAAGGAUGAAAAUCGGACUUAGUGAUCCGGUGGUUCUGCGUGGAAGGGCCAGCGCUCAACGGAUAAAAGCUACCCUGGGGAUAACAGGCUUAUCUCCCCCAAGAGUCCACAUCGACGGGGAGGUUUGGCACCUCGAUGUCGGCUCAUCACAUCCUGGGGCUGUAGUAGGUCCCAAGGGU